GUGGGGAAUUUUGCACAAUGGGGGAAACCCUGAUGCAGCAACGCCGCGUGAGUGAAGAAGGCCUUUGGGUUGUAAAGCUCUUUCGACCGGGAAAAAGGGUCGUAAGGUAAAUAAUCUUACGAUUUGAUGGUACCGAGGGAAGAAGCACCUGCUAACUACGUGCCAGCAGCAGCGGUAAUACGUAGGGUGCAAGCGUUGUUCGGAAUCAUUGGGCGUAAAGGGCGCGUAGGCGGGUUGGUAAGUCGAUUGUGAAAUCCCUGGGCUUAACCUGGGAACUGCAGUCGAUACUGCCGAUCUUGAAUGCUUGAGAGGGUGGUGGAAUUCCAGGUGUAGAAGUGAAAUUCGUAGAUAUCUGGAGGAACACCGGAGGCGAAGGCGGCCACCUGGCAAGACAUUGACGCUGAGGCGCGAAAGCGUGGGGAUCAAACAGGAUUAGAAACCCCAGUAGUCC
rnacentral:rRNA from 1 species